rnacentral:tRNA from 2 species
CCCAGGUUAGCUCAGUUGGUAGAGCGCUCCACUGGAAAUGGAGAGGUCCCUAGUUCCAUACCCGGAUCAGGCG